UAGAUAGGGGUCGGCGACCCGAUGGGUAUGCCGAUCACUCACAUAAUGACCUCCGGUAUGAGCGGUAUCAGGGCAGCAGGCGACCUUGUAGCAAGGAUGG
rfam:Methanolobus psychrophilus R15, complete genome.